AGAGUUUGAUCAUGGCUCAGGACGAACGCUGGCGGCGUGCCUAAUACAUGCAAGUCGAACGCUUCUUUCCUCCCGAGUGCUUGCACUCAAUUGGAAAGAGGAGUGGCGGACGGGUGAGUAACACGUGGGUAACCUACCCAUCAGAGGGGGAUAACACUUGGAAACAGGUGCUAAUACCGCAUAACAGUUUAUGCCGCAUGGCAUAAGAGUGAAAGGCGCUUUCGGGUGUCGCUGAUGGAUGGACCCGCGGUGCAUUAGCUAGUUGGUGAGGUAACGGCUCACCAAGGCCACGAUGCAUAGCCGACCUGAGAGGGUGAUCGGCCACACUGGGACUGAGACACGGCCCAGACUCCUACGGGAGGCAGCAGUAGGGAAUCUUCGGCAAUGGACGAAAGUCUGACCGAGCAACGCCGCGUGAGUGAAGAAGGUUUUCGGAUCGUAAAACUCUGUUGUUAGAGAAGAACAAGGACGUUAGUAACUGAACGUCCCCUGACGGUAUCUAACCAGAAAGCCACGGCUAACUACGUGCCAGCAGCCGCGGUAAUACGUAGGUGGCAAGCGUUGUCCGGAUUUAUUGGGCGUAAAGCGAGCGCAGGCGGUUUCUUAAGUCUGAUGUGAAAGCCCCCGGCUCAACCGGGGAGGGUCAUUGGAAACUGGGAGACUUGAGUGCAGAAGAGGAGAGUGGAAUUCCAUGUGUAGCGGUGAAAUGCGUAGAUAUAUGGAGGAACACCAGUGGCGAAGGCGGCUCUCUGGUCUGUAAC
rnacentral:rRNA from 1 species